AAAGUGACGGUACCUGCAGAAAAAGCACCNGCUAACUACGUNCCAGCAGCCGCGGUAAUACGUAGGGNNCAAGCGUUGUCCGGNAAUUAUUGGGCGUAAAGAGCUCGUAGGCGGUUUGUCGCGUCUGCUGUGAAAACUGGAGGCUCANCCUCCAGCCUGCAGUGGGUACGGGCAGACUAGAGUGCGGUAGGGGAGAUUGGAAUUCCUGGUGUAGCGGUGGAAUGCGCAGAUAUCAGGAGGAACACCGAUGGCGAAGGCAGAUCUCUGGGCCGUUACUGACGCUGAGGAGCGAAAGCAUGGGGAGCGAACAGGAUUAGAUACCCUGGUAGUCCAUGCCGUAAACGUUGGGAACUAGAUGUAGGGACCAUUCCACGGUUUCUGUGUCGCAGCUAACGCAUUAAGUUCCCCGCCUGGGGAGUACGGCCGCAAGGCUAAAACUCAAAGGAAUUGACGGGGGCCCGCACAAGCGGCGGAGCAUGCGGAUUAAUUCGAUGCAACGCGAAGAACCUUACCAAGGCUUGACAUAUACCGGAAAAGUUCAGAAAUGUUCUCCCCGCAAGGUCGGUAUACAGGUGGUGCAUGGUUGUCGUCAGCUCGUGUCGUGAGAUGUUGGGUUAAGUCCCGCAACGAGCGCAACCCUCGUCCUAUGUUGCCAGCACGUAAUGGUGGGAACUCAUGGGAGACUGCCGGGGUCAACUCGGAGGAAGGUGGGGAUGACGUCAAAUCAUCAUGCCCCUUAUGUCUUGGGCUUCACGCAUGCUACAAUGGCCGAUACAAAGGGCAGCGAUACCGUGAGGUGGAGCGAAUCCCAAAAAGUCGGUCUCAGUUCGGAUUGAGGUCUGCAACUCGACCUCAUGAAGUUGGAGUCGCUAGUAAUCGUAGAUCAGCAACGCUACGGUGAAUACGUUCCCGGGCCUUGUACACACCGCCCGUCAAGUCAUGAAAGUCGGUAACACCCGAAGCCANU
rnacentral:rRNA from 1 species